GGUGGCACCAGCAGAGAACUGAGUACUCUACAUUGUCAACUGGGCAGGAAGAAGGGGAAAGGAAAAACAGAACAAACCUCGUUGGUUACUAAACGCCAGGAGACAAGCUCCGUCAUCAUUUUGCUCUGUCUUGCUUGGCGCCAAGGCACCUGGGAUCUGUGAGCCGCUCUGCCUUUCAUGGCAGAAGAGAACCAGAAGCAGCUGGGGUGCCACCCACCUUCUGGGGCACCAUCCCGGCUGCACACCCGGGCCACUUGUUGGCAUUCUCAAAACAUUUAGCAUUCCAUGCUCAAAUGCGAACACACAAUGCCAAAGGAAAGGAGCCGGCGAAGGAAACUCGUACCCGUGGAGAAUAGGAAAGAGCUUGUGAACGCUCUCACUGCGUUGACUACUGAUUAACAGCCCUGUGUGGGCACCCGGAGGGGCAAAGGUUCAGAUGAGCACGAGAUAAAGCUGUCCUCGAGCCAAAUGGAAAAGUGAGGCUUUGCCUCAGAAACUGGCAGGGAACACAGCCACAUGACCCCCCCAGACUUACCGGACUUAUUGAACAGAACAGCAUGCUCAUAGAUAUCAGAGGCCAGGAAGAUGAAGCCGGGAAGUGGAAGGGCAUGCUGAGGGAAGAAAUGGAUUACAGAGGUAACUGCAAACCCGCCGCCACUGCCGCCACCGCACCAUUACAGUAGCUUUACAAUGACUCAAGCAGACCAGGGAGCAAGAAAGCCCCUCUAAGGUGAGGGGUCUAGUGCCUCUGUGCCCCCGACAUCAUAUAGCAUGACGUCAUAUGGAGCCGGAUGGGCACCAUAAGCCAGGCAAAGGAGUAGGUCCUCCCCUCCACAAGGGAAAUGGGGACCUCAGCACAUAGACACUGUGCCCAAAAGGAGUUGCUAUAUACUCUAUUUGGAAAUUACAAGGCCCACACAGAUUUUAGAGGAUUUAGAAACUAGUGUGAAAGAGAUCUGAAGACCAUCUAUGGACAAGAAAAAUAAAAACAGUGAGAAGAGGCUAAAGAAGAAGAGGACAUAAGCCCGUGACAACUGCCACCCUCCUCACUACAACACACGUCACAGCGACUCUUGCUGUGCUGUCACUGUGCUUCCCAUUGCUCUCAAUGAAAGAUACAAACUGGAUAGAAUGUUUACCAUUUAAAAAUCCCCAGCCACAAACCCCAAGUGAAUGUGUCAAACUGCCUGCUGGGAUUAACUGUGCACCGGAGGAACUGUCUCCAGGCCUUAGAGGGCAGUGAGUUCUCCGGUCAUAUUCCAACAGCAGUAAAGAAGGGGAGGAGGAGAGCUACAGGGGCGAGUGCCAGGUGACGCUUUAUGAUGAAGCAGCUCAAGUCCUUCUAGACAGCAGACUGGCCAUGAAGAAGCAGAAGAGUCCCUGCACAGUAGUCCUGAGCAGAAUGGUAGACUUUUCUCUCUUGUGCCAGUGACAACCAUGGGAAACACGGACUUACACAGAACACGAGGCCUGAAGAGUCAACACCAGCCUCUUAAUUUUUUUGAACACUAAGGUUCAGCGAUGUAUUGGUCCCAAGUGCCACUCUCCUCCUUGGCAUAAUUAGUUUAGCAUAAACUUCUUGCCAAGAAACAUGUCCCACAGGAGAAGCCUCAGCAAAUGUAAGUGCAGAGGUAAUUAGCUUCUUGUAAAUACUGUACUUGCCUAGUA